GGGCCUGUAGCUCAGGGGUAAGAGCAGUCGACUCAUAAUCGAUUGGUCGCUGGUUCGAAUCCAGCCAGGCCCA
rnacentral:tRNA from 1 species